rnacentral:rRNA from 1 species
GAUGAACGCUGGCGGCGUGCUUAACACAUGCAAGUCGAGCGGACGGACGCGAAGCUUGCUUCUCUGAUGUUAGCGGAGGGCGGGUGAGUAACAUGUGGAUCACCUCCCUAUCAGUGUGGUAUAACUUCGGGAAUCCGGCGCUAACACCGGAGAAUAUCUUGAACCACAUUGUUGGAAAGUGAGUGACGGUGUUGCUGUCACUUCUCGAUGGUUCCGCGCUUCUUUAUCUAGUUGUGAAGGUAACGGCUUACCAAGGCAACGUUGCAUAGCCGACCUGAGAGGGGGAUCGGCCACGAUGGAACGACGACACGCACCGGACUCCAGCGAGAGGCAGCAGUAGGGAAUCAUCCGGCAUGGGCGAAUGCCUGACGGAGCAACGCCGCGUGAGUGAUGAAGGUCGUCGGAGCGUAAAACGCUGUUAUUAGGGAAGAACAUAUGUGUAAGUAACUGUGCACAGCGUGACUGAACCGAAUCAGAAAGCCACGGCUAACUGCG